UGGUGAGAGGUCAGUUAGUGAAUUAGACCAAUUAGAGCUUGUACAGUUCAAUUAUCUGUCUUAUUACCUACUGAUAAACAGCCUUGUCAUAUCUUUACUCAGAUGAUGAAGCCUGGAAGUGUUUUAUGAGGAUUUACAUGGUUCUGGAAGGAUCACCUGUAAGCCUGGACAGAGCUGACUCAAGAUGGGUGAACUGAACAAAGGAGGCUCUCCUUGUCCCAGGCCUGUGAGCCUUGGCCAUUUGUCUGCUUAUCUGAAAGAACCAGCGAGAAAGAACCUGAAAGAACCAUUUCUUCCUGGCUGAUCAGUUUAGGUAGCAUCUGCUAUUGCAGCAUGACCCUUUUGCCUGUCCUGUAACAUAGCCACAGGAUUUAGAUUAGUUACAAGGAAAAAUUUUUUUUGCAAUGAGGGAGGCAAAAUACUGGAACAUAUUUCCCAGGUGUUAGAUGUCCCAUGCCUGGAAACAUCCAAGGUCAGGUUGGACAGGACUCUCAGAAACUUGAUGUAGAAGAAGAUGUCCCUGCUAAUUCCAAACCAUUCUAUGAUUAAAACUGAUCUGAAUUACUUGAGUUGCAGCUGACUUGUCUUGCUGUCUGGGCAUCUCCCACCUGUGCACUGCUCCUUCUCAAGAGUGAAUUAAAGAAACCAGUUUGGGUCAAUAGGAUAUUUGAGAACUACUGUAAAGGGAUGAAUAUAAAGGUUUAAAUCAUAAGUGCUUGAAGAACUGGAGCACAUAUUGCCCAGUGGCAAUCAUCUCAUAAGAACAAAUCACCCACCCAAGGUGUUCUGUUUAGAUUCUUGCAGCAGUCAUCUUGGUUUUUACAUAUACUGUGUCUUUUAAAAAUCCUUGUUCACUGCUUUCCUAAACAGCUCU